UACGUAGGGUGCGAGCGUUGUCCGGAAUUAUUGGGCGUAAAGAGCUCGUAGGCGGUUUGUUGCGUCUAUCGUGAAAACCUGCAGCUUAACUGUGGGCUUGCGGUGGAUACGGGCAGACUUGAGUUCGGUAGGGGAGACUGGAAUUCCUGGUGUAGCGGUGAAAUGCGCAGAUAUCAGGAAGAACACCUAUGGCGAAGGCAGCACCUCGUCGGGCGAUACUGACACUGAGGAGCGAAAGCGUGGGGAGCGAACAGG
rnacentral:rRNA from 1 species